GACAGAGGGUGCAAACGUUGUUCGGAAUUAUUGGGCGUAAAGCGCGUGUAGGCGGUGAUGCAUGUCGGGUGUGAAAGCCCUCAGCUUAACUGAGGAAGUGCGCCCGAAACUGCAUCGCUGGAGUGUCGGAGAGGAAGGCGGAAUUCCCGGUGUAGAGGUGAAAUUCGUAGAUAUCGGGAGGAACACCAGUGGCGAAGGCGGCCUUCUGGACGAACACUGACGCUGAGACGCGAAAGCGUGGGUAGCAAACAGG
rnacentral:rRNA from 1 species